rnacentral:rRNA from 1 species
UGGGGAAUAUUGGACAAUGGGCGAAAGCCUGAUCCAGCAAUGCCGCGUGUGUGAAGAAGGCCUUCGGGUUGUAAAGCACUUUCAGUGGGAAAGAAAAAGCUAAAACUAAUACUUUUAGCCUUGACGUUACCCACAGAAGAAGCACCGGCUAACUCUGUGCCAGCAGCCGCGGUAAUACAGAGGGUGCAAGCGUUAAUCGGAAUUACUGGGCGUAAAGCGCGCGUAGGUGGAUGCUUAAGUCGGAUGUGAAAGCCCUGGGCUUAACCUGGGAACUGCACUCGAAACUGAGUAUCUAGAGUAUAGUAGAGGGAAGUGGAAUUUCCGGUGUAGCGGUGAAAUGCGUAGAUAUCGGAAGGAACACCAGUGGCGAAGGCGGCUUCCUGGACUAAUACUGACACUGAGGCGCGAAAGCGUGGGGAGCAAACAG